rnacentral:rRNA from 1 species
GACGAACGCUGGCGGCGUGCUUAACACAUGCAAGUCGAACGGAAAGGCCCUGCUUUUGUGGGGUGCUCGAGUGGCGAACGGGUGAGUAACACGUGAGUAACCUGCCCUUGACUUUGGGAUAACUUCAGGAAACUGGGGCUACUACCGGAUAGGAGCUCCUGCUGCAUGGUGGGGGUUGGAAAGUUUCGGCGGGUGGGGAUGGACUCGCGGCUUAUCAGCUUGUUGGUAGGGUAGUGGCUUACCAAGGCUUUGACGGGUAGCCGGCCUGAGAGGGUGACCGGCCACAUUGGGACUGAGAUACGGCCCAGACUCCUACGGGAGGCAGCAGUGGGGAAUAUUGCACAAUGGGCGGAAGCCUGAUGCAGCAACGCCGCGUGCGGGAUGACGGCCUUCGGGUUGUAAACCGCUUUCGCCUGUGACGAAGCGUGAGUGACGGUAAUGGGUAAAGAAGCACCGGCUAACUACGUG